AACCCUGACGCAGCAACGCCGCGUGGGUGAUGAAGGUCUUCGGAUUGUAAAGCCCUGUUUUCUAGGACGAUAAUGACGGUACUAGAGGAGGAAGCCACGGCUAACUACGUGCCAGCAGCCGCGGUAAUACGUAGGUGGCGAGCGUUGUCCGGAUUUACUGGGCGUAAAGGGUGCGUAGGCGGAUGUUUAAGUGGGAUGUGAAAUCCCCGGGCUUAACCUGGGGGCUGCAUUCCAAACUGGAUAUCUAGAGUGCAGGAGAGGAAAGCGGAAUUCCUAGUGUAGCGGUGAAAUGCGUAGAGAUUAGGAAGAACACCAGUGGCGAAGGCGGCUUUCUGGACUGUAACUGACGCUGAGGCACGAAAGCGUGGGUAGCAAACAGGAUUAGAUACCCUGGUAGUCCACGCCGUAAACGAUGGAUACUAGGUGUAGGGGGUAUCAACUCCCCCUGUGCCGCAGUUAACACAAUAAGUAUCCCGCCUGGGGAGUACGGUCGCAAGAUUAAAACUCAAAGGAAUUGACGGGGGCCCGCACAAGCAGCGGAGCAUGUGGUUUAAUUCGAAGCAACGCGAAGAACCUUACCUGGACUUGACAUCCCUUGCAUAGCCUAGAGAUAGGUGAAGCCCUUCGGGGCAAGGAGACAGGUGGUGCAUGG
rnacentral:rRNA from 1 species